AUUAAAAUAUUACCCUACCAAUAUUGAAACAUAAUUAGGAAAUGUAAUAUUUUCUUUUGACUAUAAUCUAAAGAAAUAAAUCGAAAUGAUUCUUUUGACUUAAAAAUACCUUUUAAGUAUAUUUGUUUUGUUAUAUAUAUAUAUAACAAUCCGAAGUAAAACAAAAAUAUAAAACAUAUAAGAGGUUAAGAAGAUAUCAUAAAAAUGGCUAUCACCAAGAAAAUGCUACUUGCAUUUGUUGUCAGUAUCUUCCUCAUCGUAUCUUCUGUGCACUGCUCUGAUCGCAUUCUUGGUGCUGGAAUCAAUAAAGAGUUAAAACAAUGCUUCCCAAAGCAGCCUUGUGGGAAGACUUGCGAAGAGUACUGUGUAGGACACAUUAACGAUGAAUGGGGUAUAAGGACAUCUUGUGAAUCUGGCGCAUGUUGUUGUAUAAAAGAUGGUGCUGUAUAACCACGAGAUAUUGUAAUUUCAUCAAAUAUAUGUAUCUCCUAGAAUAAUAAUAUCAUUACUUUUCAUA